rnacentral:lncRNA from 1 species
CGGAAAUGGAUGUAGUUGAAUGGAAUUUGGUGUUUGGUGAUGGAAUGAGUGUGUAAUUGAUCCUCCCAGCUCAGAAGGCCCUCCUAUGAUGGAAGGAAGCUAGAGGAAAGGGUAGAGAAAGUGUAAAGAAGCAUUGACUCAAGAGCAUUAAGGCUGAAACAGAAAUUCUGCAGCAUUUCAUUAAGGCUCAAAAGUGCCUUUUACAAAGGACGAGACCCUCUUAUUUAUAGGUGAAGAGGGGUCUCAAAUCUGAUCCAAUUCCCU